GAGGUGGACGGGCGACCGCCUUAGUUGAUUUUUGCAGCUACGGAGGAAAGUCCGAGCUCUCUCGGAAGGAUGCCCGCUAACGGCGGGGCGGGGUGACCCGACGGACAGUGCCACAGAAACAUACCGCUGCAUAGCAGUAAGGGUGAAAAGGUGAGGUAAGAGCUCACCGCGGAGUUGGAGACAACUCCGGACAAGGUAAACCCCAUCUGGAGCAAGGCCUAAUAGGGGUAGUAAAGGUUCCGAGCCUUACCCGGGUUGGCCGCUUGACCCUUUCGGCAACGGAAGGGCUAGAUAGAUGGUCGCCACUCUGGAUUAGUUCAGAGAACAGAACUCGGCUUACAGUCCACCUCA
rnacentral:RNase_P_RNA from 1 species